rnacentral:rRNA from 1 species
AUACGUAGGGAGCGAGCGUUGUCCGGAAUUACUGGGCGUAAAGGGCGCGUAGGCGGCGCUUCAAGUCGUCUGUCAAAUGGGAGGGCUUAACCCUUUUUCGCAGACGAAACUGGAGAGCUUGAGAAGCAGAGAGGCAAACAGAAUUCCUGGUGUAGCGGUGAAAUGCGUAGAUAUCAGGAAGAAUACCAGUGGCGAAGGCGGUUUGCUGGCUGCAUACUGACGCUGAAGCGCGAAAGCCAGGGGAGCGAACGGGAUUAGAUACCCCGGUAGUCCUGGCAGUAAACGAUGUAUGCUGGGUGUGAGACUAGCGAUAGUUUUGUGCCGAAGUUAACGCGAUAAGCAUACCGCCUGGGGAGUACGGUCGCAAGAUUGAAACUCAAAGGAAUUGACGGGG